CCAGCCCGCUCAGAACUUAAAGGAAUUGGACGGGGCCCGGCACAAGCGGAGGAGCAUGUGGUUUAAUUCGAUGAUACGCGAGGAACCUUACCUGGGCUCGAACGUAAGAUGACUGUAGGUGAAAGCUUACAUCUCUUCGGAGCAUUUUACGAGGUGCUGCAUGGUUGUCGUCAGCUCGUGCCGUGAGGUGUCGGGUUAAGUCCCAUAACGAGCGCAACCCUACCUUUAGUUGCCAUCAGGUAAUGCUGGGGACUCUAAAGGAACUGCCUACGCAAGUAGUGAGGAAGGCGGGGAUGACGUCAAAUCAGCACGGCCCUUACGUCCAGGGCUACACACGUGCUACAAUGGCCGAUACAGAGGGCAGCUACCUGGUGACAGGAUGCAAAUCUCCAAAGUCGGUCUCAGUUCGGAUCGGAGUCUGCAACCCGACUCCGUGAAGCUGGAAUCGCUAGUAAUCGCGCAUCAGCCAUGGCGCGGUGAAUACGUUCCCGGGCCUU
rnacentral:rRNA from 1 species